UUGACAGCUCUGGAGUCUGCAUUCCUCUAUUUAUCCUUAGGACAGGUACAGCACAGGCAGCUGUGACAACUGCCCCCACACCAAAGCUGCCCCAACUCCAUGCCAGUGGGACCCAAUCAGUCACUAUGGGUCAGCUUCCAGCCAAAAAAAAGGGAAGUCAAUGCCCAUGCCCAUUCCAUCCUUGCUUCGCU
rnacentral:sRNA from 1 species